rnacentral:rRNA from 1 species
GAUGAACGCUGGCGGCGUGCCUAAUACAUGCAAGUCGAGCGAACAGACGAGGAGCUUGCUCCUCUGACGUUAGCGGCGGACGGGUGAGUAACACGUGGAUAACCUACCUAUAAGACUGGGAUAACUUCGGGAAACCGGAGCUAAUACCGGAUAAUAUAUUGAACCGCAUGGUUCAAUAGUGAAAGACGGUUUUGCUGUCUCUUAUAGAUGGAUCCGCGCCGCAUUAGCUAGUUGGUAAGGUAACGGCUUACCGAGGCAACGAUGCGUAGCCGACCUGAGAGGGUGAUCGGCCACACUGGAACUGAGACACGGUCCAGACUCCUACGGGAGGCAGCAGUAGGGAAUCUUCCGCAAUGGGCGAAAGCCUGACGGAGCAACGCCGCGUGAGUGAUGAAGGUCUUCGGAUCGUAAAACUCUGUUAUUAGGGAAGAACAAAUGUGUAAGUAACUAUGCACGUCUUGACGGUACCUAAUCAGAAAGCCACGGCUAACUACGUG